AGCUUGCUCCAUCGAAAGAAAAAGAGUGGCGAACGGGUGAGUAACACGUGGGUAACCUGCCCAUCAGAAGGGGAUAACACUUGGAAACAGGUGCUAAUACCGUAUAACACUAUUUUCCGCAUGGAAGAAAGUUGAAAGGCGCUUUUGCGUCACUGAUGGAUGGACCCGCGGUGCAUUAGCUAGUUGGUGAGGUAACGGCUCACCAAGGCAACGAUGCAUAGCCGACCUGAGAGGGUGAUCGGCCACACUGGGACUGAGACACGGCCCAGACUCCUACGGGAGGCAGCAGUAGGGAAUCUUCGGCAAUGGACGAAAGUCUGACCGAGCAACGCCGCGUGAGUGAAGAAGGUUUUCGGAUCGUAAAACUCUGUUGUUAGAGAAGAACAAGGAUGAGAGUAAAAUGUUCAUCCCUUGACGGUAUCUAACCAGAAAGCCACGGCUAACUACGUGCCAGCAGCCGCGGUAAUACGUAGGUGGCAAGCGUUGUCCGGAUUUAUUGGGCGUAAAGCGAGCGCAGGCGGUUUCUUAAGUCUGAUGUGAAAGCCCCCGGCUCAACCGGGGAGGGUCAUUGGAAACUGGGAGACUUGAGUGCAGAAGAGGAGAGUGGAAUUCCAUGUGUAGCGGUGAAAUGCGUAGAUAUAUGGAGGAACACCAGUGGCGAAGGCGGCUCUCUGGUCUGUAACUGACGCUGAGGCUCGAAAGCGUGGGGAGCGAACAGGAUUAGAUACCCUGGUAGUCCACGCCGUACACGAUGAGUGCUAAGUGUUGGAGGGUUUCCGCCCUUCAGUGCUGCAGCAAACGCAUUAAGCACUCCGCCUGGGGAGUACGACCGCAAGGUUGAGACUCAAAGGAAUUGACGGGGGCCCGCACAAGCGGUGGAGCAUGUGGUUUAAUUCGAAGCAACGCGAAGAACCUUACCAGGUCUUGACAUCCUUUGACCACUCUAGAGAUAGAGCUUCCCCUUCGGGAGCAAAGUGACACGUGGUGCAUGGUUGUCAUC
rnacentral:rRNA from 1 species